GUGGGGAAUAUUGGACAAUGGGCGCAAGCCUGAUCCAGCAAUGCCGCGUGCAGGAAGAAGGCCUUCGGGUUGUAAACUGCUUUUGUACGGAACGAAACGGUCCUGGUUAAUACCCUGGGCUAAUGACGGUACCGUAAGAAUAAGCACCGGCUAACUACGUGCCAGCAGCCGCGGUAAUACGUAGGGUGCAAGCGUUAAUCGGAAUUACUAGGCGUAAAGCGUGCGCAGGCGGUUUUGUAAGACAGGCGUGAAAUCCCCGGGCUCAACCUGGGAAUUGCGCUUGUGACUGCAAGGCUGGAGUGCGGCAGAGGGGGAUGGAAUUCCGCGUGUAGCAGUGAAAUGCGUAGAUAUGCGGAGGAACACCGAUGGCGAAGGCAAUCCCCUGGGCCUGCACUGACGCUCAUGCACGAAAGCGUGGGGAGCAAACAGGAUUAGAAACCCCGGUAGUCC
rnacentral:rRNA from 1 species